rnacentral:lncRNA from 1 species
CAAAAAGACUGCACUUUUGCAUUGUUAAGUAAUAGCUCCAUGUCAAUUAUGGAUUUGUUAAUUUACGACAUGGAAUGAAUUUCUCAAAAAUAGAUGCAAAGUGCAUUAGAAAUAAUACAAAAAACAAAUAGCAAAUUUGAAACAAAAAAUCGGUAGAAGAUGACAAAUAAAAAAUGUUUAAGCGAUAAGGAGUUUAACUUUAGCAGACUCGAAUAAGACAAAUCAAAUGCAGCCAGCUAGAGAAACGUAUUGACUAGUCAAAACUAGAGAGAGUGACGUACGGACCAAUCAGAAGUAGUGAGAGUAGUGACGUACGGACCAAUCAAAAGUAACGAGAGUGACGUACGGACCAAUCAAAAGUACCGAGAGAGACGUAUUGACUAAUCAAAAGUAGCGAGAGUGACGUACAAACCAAUCAAAAGUACCGAGAGAGACGUAUUGACUAGUCAAAAGUAGUUAAAGAGACGUACUAUCCGUCAACAGUAUAAAAAAUGAAAAUAAAUGCCAAACUAUUUUGUAUAUAUAAAUGUAGAUGUCCUAAUUUGUGGGAGAGUGUUACCGUAUACUUUAUUAUUGAUUGAUUGAUUGUGUAAUGAUCACUUUAUAUUAUUCAUACUUAAAACAAUUGCCACCAAUCAUUUUGACUCCAAUUGAAUGUAGUUCGUGAGCACCAAUAGCAAAAAAAAAAAGAUUUGAAUAGAACAAAAAAAAAUCAAACUUGCUUAAAAGGUAAGCAAUAUGAUAAAUUUUGUUAACAUGAAGCAUACAUUGUUUACCGAGUCUUGGAUACUCAUUUUGUACUUUUAUUCCUUAUCAUCUAUAUUAAUUAUCCUCUCCUAACCUGUGAAUGUUCACAAGGCCAUAGUCUGUUUAGUAAAUAGCACAUUAGAAACAUCUACCGAUCAG